rnacentral:rRNA from 1 species
UUGUAAUCGAAUCGAGAUUCAGUGAGUGAAUUUAUUUUUAAUGAAUUUGGAAAUAAUUUAUUAUUUUUAUUUCGUUGGAAUGAAAUUUUGCUUAUGCAUUUCUUGAUUCGAUGUGAAUUCGCGAAUCGUUUGCAAUAAAACGAGCCAUCGAUGACUGAUUUUGUGCCGACUUAGUGUGUAAAAGCACGUUUGUGUCGCGUUUUGAGUGUUACAGUUUUUUUUUAUCUUUUUCGGAAGUGAAAAAAAAUUGUAAAUUAUCCGCUCGUUAUGCGAAUAGUUGGUCCAGUUCCUGUUUCGGUUCGAUUUUGUUUGGUAGACGAUUAAGUAUUAGUUAUUGAUUCUUUGACACGAUUAUAAGAAUCGAAAAUUAAUUUUUUCGAGCGAAGCGCAAAGGCUUGUUUUUUCGUCUCGAAUUCGAAAAAAAUAUGUUUUUGUUUCAAUACGAAAUGUGUGUGUGCGUUUUUAACGUUGUGCACGUUUUAUGUUUUAGCCGAAAUGUAUUUUUUUUUGNUUUUGUUGACAAAAAAUUGCCGAUUGGAAACGAUCUCAUACAGG